rnacentral:sRNA from 1 species
UGGACGCAUCGGGGGCGCGCGUGACAGU